rnacentral:rRNA from 1 species
UCCCAGUUCGGAUUGUAGUCUGCAACCCGACUACAUGAAGCUGGAAUCGCUAGUAAUCGCAGGUCAGCAUACUGCGGUGAAUACGUUCCCGGGUCUUGUACACACCGCCCGUCACACCAUGGGAGCCGGAAAUGCCCGAAGCCAGUGACCCAACCUUAGGGAGGGAGCUGUCGAAGGUGGAGCCGGUAACUGGGGUGAAGUCGUAACAAGGUAAC